UUGAAUAUCUUUUAUGAUUUUUUUAUGUAAUUGGAUGAUCUCUUUCUUAUUUGCAAAUUAAUAUCACUUGACUAUUGUCUAUUUGUCUUUUGUUUCAGAUUGAUGAGUUCGUGAUGUACGAAAAGAGAAUGCCUUAGAAAGACCGGUCAUACGAAAGAGCACUUAUUACUAUUGAAAUAUUAUGGUGACGAUGUUUAGCAGUCAUAAAAGGUAUAUCUUUUCUCAGAUUCAUAUGGGCUGCCCUUCAAAGAUAAAUGUAGAAACAAAGUAGGGAAGAUUGUAAGAUUGUCCAUGGUAUUACUUUAAUGUGGAGAAAUAUCACAUGCAAAUUUAGCAAUCCGUAAUUGUAGUUUUUUACUGGAAUGUUUAUUUCAUAGAAUUACAAAUUAUCAUGUUACUUCUACUUCCUUAUGGUAUUAUACUGUGCCUUAUCUCAUGACCUAGGGACAUUGGUGUCAAGUUUCACAUACUUGAACUGUUUAAUUGAUUGCUUCCAUAAGAUCUUCUCCUCAACGUUCCUAUGUGUGAUGAUGUAAUCCAGAUCAGGCUUUGAGCUGUACUUUUUCCCUCAGCAAUACUUUCAGUGAGAAGUAGCAACACUAAUCCAUCAAUAUAGAUUAUGCGAAGUAUUUAACAUUGAGGCUGCGUUCGUUAUGCAGGGAGAGAAAAUGAAGGUUAAAAAUACUUCAAAGGAAUAGGACUGAAGGCUACCAUAGAACCUACAGGGUCUAGGAACACAGGAAUAAGAGAAAGUAGACUGUUCGGAUCACAGCAGCCUUAAGGGUUUUUAAAUUGGCCACAAGGCAGCUUUGUCUCUAUCUCUCACCCCAUCACGUCACACAUCAGCUCAUUUUAAUUAGCUCUGCAUGCUGACUGCCACGAUCAGAGCACCUCGUCUCGGUCUUCCGCGAAAAACAUGAGCUCCGGGCAGAUUUUUCAAUUCCUGUGAAAUCGGCAUCGAAAGGACAGGUUUCCUUUGGAUCACUGUAGGUCAUUCCUGCGUUUCGAACACCACAAAGGAAAAUAAACCUUCAUGAACAGUAUUCCUUCAUGAUUCCUGCAAAAAUCCUAUGAACCGAACGGAGCCUGAAUAUGGUCCAGUUAGUGGCGUAUUAUUCCUUGCAUUCAACACGUGUGUAUAACACCUCGACGAUGUGUUAUUCUAUAUUGAAGUUUUAAUGAACCUGAACUCUUCUGAUUAUUUUGUGUAAGCAUGAACUCUUGGCGUGCAGGUGUAAGUUGAUUUUUUUUUCAAAAAAAAGGUGCAAGUCCUAUCAGGCACAUGGACAACUAACAUCAUGCUUCCUCUGUUUAGACAUUACUCUACCACGUAGUUGGUCUUUGGUUCUCUAGGAGAUCGUGGUCCAUAUUUGAUUAACUUACAAAAAUAUAUGCAUUAACAUGAAGCUUUGCUGGAGUAUUUGUGCAAAGGGUAAGUUAUGCGAAGGUAAACAAUGCUUCAUUUGUUCUAUCUAAUCUAAAUUUUAAAAGCUUUUUGUAAGAAAAAUAUGGCCAGGCAUUUACCAACAGGCAAGAUCUAGCAGCUUACCUUAUUUUUAUUCCGGAUGUUUAGUCAUGCAUCCGAAUUUCCGGCAUGAUAGCUCACUUCUUUCAUGUGUAAAUAAUUCCCUCUCCAAGGGAUUCCUUAAUUUAUUUCUAUCCUAGCAGUUCGUACAUAUCUAUAUUUUGUGUGGAGCGUUUUCUAUUUCAUUUUCUUUUACUUUGUUUUGAUAUAUGGAUUCUGACUGUAGUAAUUCAGUUUUUCCACCAAUUGUUGGAUGCUUAAAUUACCUUCAAGAAGUCUUUUUUCCCGCUCCCACAUAGCAUGCAGCAGUUAUAUGCAUCAUUUGACUGGCUGUGUCAUACAGUUAAAAGGUUAGUAUUUUUGCUCAUACAAGGAACAGAUUCAGUUCAGUUAAUUUAGCUCUAUUGGUUGUAUCAGUAAAACGUGGAAGUGUGCAAUUUUGCUGUACAUACUCCCCUAUUUGUAUCGGUUCAGUUAAUUCAACUCUAAUUAUGUUAGUUGUAAAACAUGGAAGAGUUGUUCGCUGGGGUUCUUUUCCCCCCUCUCCUUCUUUAAUGAAUGAUAUGCAUACUCCGUAUUCUAGAAAACAAAAUACAUAUCCCCUAUAUAUGCCCUUCUUAUCCUUUCUUAAAAAUAACUUGAUACGUACAAGAGAAUAAUUACUUCCUGUAGAUCUCCUUCCAAGUUUAUUUACUUGAUCCUUUUUCCUUUCACUUCCCUUGACCUAUUUUUUGGUGCACUGACAUGGUGUCUUCAGUGGAAAAUUCUGAUGCUUCUAUGCUUUCAUGACUGAAUAUUUUAAAUAUGAUUAAAAAUAUGUUAUUUUCUCAUGGAAAAUCAAGUUAUAAGUAGCUUAAAUGCUUAUUGCUGUUGGCAUGAGAUCUAUGGGUUCUCUCUUAGUAAUCAAGCACGUCAACUUCUGCUUUUCAGAGAAGGUUCCAUGUUGCCAUGUUCUUUCUGAAGUUAAAUUGGCAUUACAAAUUUUGUGAUCAAUAACUUUCAGAAGAAAAAGGUUGCUCAAGCUACUCUUCAUCAAGUUUGCACAUAUCAUGGUAUAGUCAUCAACGACCACAAUCAUGAUGCGCUCAAGAAAAUGUUCAGGAGUUACUCAACAACACAAUAGUGGAGCGGAACCCAUCACUACUUAGUGAUUUGGAAAGCAGAGUACUAUUACUUUACAGAGGGAGUACAUUGUGGUACUUUGAUUUUUCUUUGCAAUAUUUAUUACAUAGAGAUAAUCUAGAGCAUUCUGGAGGGAAACUAAUCGGUAUGGAAUACUGAUGCAUAUGCAUUUUCUGGUGCAACUUGCUUCUAGGAUGCGGCAACCAUUUGAGAAAAUUUUAUACUUCCUCUGUCCUUAAUUAUUUGUUAGAUAAAUGGAUGUGAUACGAUCAAGGAUCCUCAAAAAGAUUUAUCUCCCAUUUCAAGAUAAUUUGCCAAACCGUUGAGAGCCAGGACGUGCAUCCAGUAGCAACUUCAACAUUGUCUACGCAUCAAACAAACCACCUGAACAAGAGCAAAAGAACCAGCUUCAUCUAUCUACCACUACAUUGUAGAGACACACCCAGCUGGAGGAUCAACAUCUCAAGUCUAGGAAGAGAACAAGAGCUUCACAAUUCUGCAUUCAGUAUCCACUAUCACUACGUGUUGUAGAUCACCUAUGCAUGUACCAACUAGAUGUACCUUUUCCUGAUCACCUAUGCAUGUAUCAACUACAUGUACCUAUCCUUGUAUGAACUAUUUUGCUACAAUCGAGUUUUGAAAUGACUUACCUAAUAUUUAUAGAAAAUCUAAAUAGCUUAUCA
rnacentral:lncRNA from 1 species